UUGAAUUAAGAUUAAGAUAGAUUCAUUACAUUUUGGCCUCGUUUUUCCCCCUAAAGGUAAGUAGUGCUCAGUUAAUACGUACGUCGCUCUUUUCAAUGUAGGCCAAUUAAGGCAGGGAUAUGUAUUCUUUUGAAGCACGCGUGGUAUGCGCGCUUAUUAGCCUCAACACGUAAGCAAUUAAAAUGUAUGGUACAGUACCGUUGGCAGUCGUUGGAACUACACAGAGACAUGAUGAACGGUCACCACGUUUUUAUACUUGUAGACCUUCUCAGAGUUCCCAUCCUUCGUGUUUUGGGCUACCAGAAAAGUAGUCGGCUUCAAAAGGAUUUUGCAUCCCUGAUUUAGCUGGACCAGUCGCUUCAAAUGUUGGCAACAGUCUCCAAAGAUCUGCCGACUUGGAACGGGAUGUCGGGAUUGGCAGUCCGUCUCCACUCCUUGAUAUGGACGAAACUACCCCUUUUCGGACCAGCAACACAUGAAGACUUUUCAUUAAAGUCGGAGACGGGAGGUAUUAAU